rnacentral:rRNA from 1 species
GAUGAACGCUGGCGGCGUGCCUAAUACAUGCGAGUCGAGCGAACAGACGAGGAGCUUGCUCCUCUGACGUUAGCGGCGGACGGGUGAGUAACACGUGGAUAACCUACCUAUAAGACUGGGAUAACUUCGGGAAACCGGAGCUAAUACCGGAUAAUAUAUUGAACCGCAUGGUUCAAUAGUGAAAGACGGUUUUGCUGUCACUUAUAGAUGGAUCCGCGCCGCAUUAGCUAGUUGGUAAGGUAACGGCUUACCAAGGCGACGAUGCGUAGCCGACCUGAGAGGGUGAUCGGCCACACUGGAACUAAGACACGGUCCAGACUCCUACGGGAGGCAGCAGUAGGGAAUCUUCCGCAAUGGGCGAAAGCCUGACGGAGCAACGCCGCGUGAGUGAUGAAGGUCUUCGGAUCGUAAAACUCUGUUAUUAGGGAAGAACAAAUGUGUAAGUAACUAUGCACGUCUUGACGGUACCUAAUCAGAAAGCCACGGCUAACUACGUG